CAACUUUCAACAACGGAUCUCUUGGCUCUCGCAUCGAUGAAGAACGCAGCGAAAUGCGAUACGUAAUGUGAAUUGCAGAAUUCAGUGAAUCAUCGAAUCUUUGAACGCACCUUGCGCCCCUUGGCAUUCCGAAGGGCACACCCGUUUG
rnacentral:rRNA from 1 species